CCUACGGGCGGCAGCAGUAGGGAAUUUUCGUCAAUGGGCGCAAGCCUGAACGAGCAAUGCCGCGUGAACGAGGAAGGUCUUCGGAUCGUAAAGUUCUGUUGAAGGGGAAAAAGAGCGGAGAGAGGAAAUGGUCUCCGAUUGAUAUUACCCUUCGAGGAAGUCCCGGCUAACUACGUGCCAGCAGCCGCGGUAAUACGUAGGUGGCGAGCGUUAUCCGGAAUGAUUGGGCGUAAAGGGUGCGUAGGCGGCCUGCGAAGUCUGGAGUGAAAGGUACCGGCUCAACCGGUACAGGCUCUGGAAACUGGCGGGCUAGAGAGCAGGAGAGGGCGGUGGAACUACAUGUGUAGCGGUAAAAUGCGUAGAUAUAUGGAAGAACACCAGUGGCGAAGGCGGCCGCCUGGCCUGUUACUGACGCUGAGGCACGAAAGCGUGGGGAGCAAAUAGGAUUAGAUACCCCUGUAGUC
rnacentral:rRNA from 1 species